rnacentral:rRNA from 1 species
UACGUAGGUGGCAAGCGUUAUCCGGAUUUACUGGGUGUAAAGGGCGUGUAGGCGGGAAUGCAAGUCAGAUGUGAAAACUAUGGGCUCAACCCAUAGCCUGCAUUUGAAACUGUGGUGCUUGAGUGAAGUAGAGGUAGGCGGAAUUCCCGGUGUAGCGGUGAAAUGCGUAGAGAUCGGGAGGAACACCAGUGGCGAAGGCGGCUCUCUGGUCUGUAACUGACGCUGAGGCUCGAAAGCGUGGGGAGCAAAC